rnacentral:rRNA from 1 species
UACGUAGGUGGCAAGCGUUGUCCGGAUUUACUGGGCGUAAAGAGCGCGCAGGCGGUCGUGCAAGUCGCGUGUGAAAGCCCCCGGCUCAACUGGGGAGGGUCACGCGAUACUGCUCGACUCGAAGGCAGGAGGGGGAAGUGGAAUUCCCGGUGUAGUGGUGAAAUGCGUAGAUAUCGGGAGGAACACCAGUGGCGAAGGCGACUUCCUGGCCUGUUCUUGACGCUGAGGCGCGAAAGCUAGGGUAGCAAACGGG